GUGGGGAAUAUUGGACAAUGGGCGAAAGCCUGAUCCAGCAAUGCCGCGUGAGUGAUGAAGGCCCUAGGGUUGUAAAGCUCUUUUACCCGGGAUGAUAAUGACAGUACCGGGAGAAUAAGCUCCGGCUAACUUCGUGCCAGCAGCCGCGGUAAUACGAGGGGAGCUAGCGUUGUUCGGAAUUACUGGGCGGAAAGCGCGCGUAGGCGGUUUUUUAAGUCAGAGGUGAAAGACCGGGGCUCAACCCCGGAAUUGCCUUUGAAACUGGAAAACUAGAAUCUUGGAGAGGUCAGUGGAAUUCCGAGUGUAGAGGUGAAAUUCGUAGAUAUUCGGAAGAACACCAGUGGCGAAGGCGACUGACUGGACAAGUAUUGACGCUGAGGUGCGAAAGCGUGGGGAGCAAACAGGAUUAGAAACCCUGGUAGUCC
rnacentral:rRNA from 1 species